UUUGGCCACCGUUUUGGAGUCCGACUUAGCCUGCUAGUCGCACGGGUUUAGACCCGUGGCGAAUAGCUCCGUAACACGUGGUCAAACUACCNAACGGAGGAGCAUAACCUCGGGAAACUGAGGCUAAUACUCCAUACGUGCCCCAAGCUGGAAUGCUCGGGCACCGAAACGCUCCGGCGCUGUUGGAUGUGAUUGCGGCCGAUUAGGUAGACGGUGGGGUAACGGCCCACCGUGCCGAUAAUCGGUACGGGUUGUGAGAGCAAGAGCCCGGAGACGGUAUCUGAGACAAGAUGCCGGGCCCUACGGGGCGCANCAAGCGCGAAACCUUUACACUGCACGCCAGUGGGAUAAGGGGACUCCAAGUGCGAGGGCAUAUAGUCCUCGCUUUUCUGCACGGUAAGGACGUGCAGGAAUAAGAGCUGGGCAAGACCGGUGCCAGCCGCCGCGGUAAUACCGGCAGCUCGAGUGAUGGCCGAUCUUAUUGGGCCUAAAGCGUCCGUAGCCGGCUGCGUAAGUCCAUCGGGAAAUCCAUCUGNUNAACAGAUGGGCGUCCGGUGGAAACUGNACAACUUGGGACCGAAAGACCCGAGGGGUACGUNUAGGGUAGGAAUGAAAUCCUGUAAUCCUGGACGGACCGNCGAUGGCGAAAGCACCUUNGGNAAGACGGAUCCCACGGUGANGGACCA
rnacentral:rRNA from 1 species